ACGGAGGGUGCAAGCGUUGCUCGGAAUUACUGGGCGUAAAGCGAACGCAGGCGGUUCAUUAAGUCGGGCGUGAAAGCCCCGGGCUCAACCUGGGAAUUGCACUCGAUACUGGUGAACUUGAGUCUGAGAGAGGGAAGCGGAAUUCCUGGUGUAGAGGUGAAAUUCGUUGAUAUCAGGAGGAACACCGGCGGCGAAGGCGGCUUCCUGGCUCAGUACUGACGCUCAUGUUCGAAAGCGUGGGGAGCGAACAGGAUUAGAAACCCCCGUAGUCC
rnacentral:rRNA from 1 species